CCUACGGGGGGCAGCAGUAGGGAAUCUUCCACAAUGGGCGAAAGCCUGAUGGAGCAACGCCGCGUGGGUGAAGAAGGUCUUCGGAUCGUAAAACCCUGUUGUUAGAGAAGAAAGUGCGUGAGAGUAACUGUUCACGUUUCGACGGUAUCUAACCAGAAAGCCACGGCUAACUACGUGCCAGCAGCCGCGGUAAUACGUAGGUGGCAAGCGUUAUCCGGAUUUAUUGGGCGUAAAGGGAACGCAGGCGGUCUUUUAAAUCUGAUGUGAAAGCCUUCGGCUUAACCGGAGUAGGGCAGUGGAAACGGGGAGACGUGAGUGCAGAAGAGGAGAGUGGAACGGCAAGGGUAGCGGUGAAAUGCGUAGAUAUAGUGAAGAACACCAGUGGCGAAAGCGGCUCUCUGGUCUGUAACUGACGCUGAGGUUCGAAAGCGUGGGUAGCAAACAGGAUUAGAUACCCGGGUAGUC
rnacentral:rRNA from 1 species